rnacentral:lncRNA from 1 species
UAGAUUUGAAGCCUAAAAAAUGAGAAAAGGGGCAUUCAAAAGCUUCUUCGAAUUUUGAAAGUGAGAAAAAAGGAUUUCUACCAAGAGAAAAGAGUUGCAAAGGAAGGAAUAAACUAUCGUUGCAAUGGAUGGAAUAAAUCAUCAUUGUGUUGGAUAUGAAGACUUGUUAAAUGAAAAUAAUGUAAAAUUUCCUAGAUUUGU